AGGGAAGAAAAUCAAGUGUCAGAACUUGUGUAGGCCUCAAACUGGCAGUUGCAGCAGUGUACGCUGUAAUCAUUUCCACGCCACACAACAAAUUGCAUAUACGCAGUCAUUCUGGUGUAAAAUAUUUUGAUUGGGAAAACAAACUUUCUAGGAGGAUGUAAAGGUGUAUUUUUGCCAAAAAGCUUAGAAAAAUAGCUGGUUUAAGAUAGAUUAGAUAGCUAGCUAGAUACACAGAUAGAUAUAUUAUUCAUCUCCAAGAGAAAUUCACAUUUCCAGCAACUCCAGCAAAAGUGUCAUAAUAAACUUAAUCACUUCAAAAUAAAACAAACAAGGCAAGAUAUAAGAGAUAAGAAAAUUGGUAUGAACCAGGAAAUGAAAGAAGGAACAAUGAAGGGGGAAGGUAAUAAAGGUGACGCACACAUGGGAGAGGGGAGAAAGAUGAUAAAUUGAAGGUCUAAUAGGUAGAGUGCAGGAGAGAAGCAAAAAUAAACAACUCCAACGACUCCAACAAAGAUAACAAACAACAUAAAAAGGAUAUACAGUGUACAAUUUCAACUCCGAUAGAAGUUAUCAGAAGUUAGCAGCAUGGGAGGUGGAAGCCGUUAGCGUUAGCAUACAAGGAUCUGUACAGCUGAAGCAACACCACAAAGACGAGGAUGCUACUAAUUCCAGAGCAGCUGCUAUGCCACAGAUUAGCUCGCCGGUACCGUGGUGCAUCCCUCAAAACAAAUCCUGAUGCACUGGCAGCUUGUAAAGAAGAUGGACGCAUCGGCCAACGUGUCUUGGUACGGUGAAAAAUUCAGAUUCAGGGAGGCUUGAAUGGUCUAGUACUGUGGUCGCCAACUGGCGGCUCUUCAGUCUUCCUGUUGCAGUUCCCAUGCCGAGUACCGUAAUUGGAGGAAAUGGGUAUUCUCGAAAAGAGAUUGAAAUAUCUGACUCACCGCACGUCUGUGAAUACAUCUAGACUGCAUUUGGAAUUGGAAUUUGGAUUUGAGCAAAGGAAGGGAGAGGGAGGCCAGUGUGUGCUGUGAGAUAUGAAAAAGGCGUCUCUAUCCAUAACCAUGAAUAUGUCCCUAAAAAUAAGAGUGAUUUCGGAACUACGAUGGACGGUUGAGCAGAUAAAACAUACUUUCAAGAAGUGAAUGGACGCUCCAAACUUACUACAGCUUCUACUGUUGUGGCUGCAUGUAUUGUUGGGAGGGCGAAGCUGUUCACACAUGAAGAAUAGUUGUGUGCUCCUAUAGAGCAGCUACACACAAUAACCUGUAUAGAAAGCUUUCUUCCAGAAUCUGCACCUAUUCCACCUGUGUUUCCCAGCAAAACCGUCUGUUUGUAAUUAUUCCACCCAGCCACGACUCUGCUGUGAUUGGUCACACUCUCAAGGGCUC